GGGCGGGUGGCUCAACUGGUAGAGCGCCUUCGCCACGCUAGUUCAAAAUCGAGGACGACGAUUCAAAGCCCAAAAUCGAGGACAACGGCGUGGAAGCGGAGGAGGUCGCGGCGUUCAACUCCCGCUCCGUCCA